UACGGGAGGCAGCAGUGGGGAAUAUUGCACAAUGGGCGGAAGCCUGAUGCAGCGACGCCGCGUGAGUGAAGAAGUAUUUCGGUAUGUAAAGCUCUAUCAGCAGGGACGAAAGAAGUUGAAAGACACUUCCUGACGGUACCUGACUAAGAAGCCCCGGCUAACUACGUGCCAGCAGCCGCGGUAAUACGUAGGGGGCAAGCGUUAUCCGGAUUUACUGGGUGUAAAGGGAGCGUAGACGGUUGUGUAAGUCAGAUGUGAAAGCCCAGGGCUCAACCCUGGGACUGCAUUUGAAACUAUGCAACUGGAGUGCAGGAGAGGUAAGUGGAAUUCCUAGUGUAGCGGUGAAAUGCGUAGAUAUUAGGAGGAACACCAGUGGCGAAGGCGGCUUACUGGACUGUAACUGACGUUGAGGCUCGAAAGCGUGGGGGGCAAACAGGAUUAGAUACCCUGGUAGUCCACGCUGUAAACGAUGAAUACUAGGUGUCGGGGCCCAUCCGGGCUUCGGUGCCGUCGCAAACGCAUUAAGUAUUCCACCUGGGGAGUACGUUCGCAAGAAUGAAACUCAAAGGAAUUGACGG
rnacentral:rRNA from 1 species